UAAGCCCAGCACAUCUGUACACACAAAAGCUCCAUCAACUGUUCAGGAGUAACAUUCACCACAAAGAAGAAACAAGAUGUGGCAGACGAUCAUCACCCAUCUACCAACGCCUCUAUCUGCUUGCCUGCUGUUUGAGGAAUGGACAGCUAUCACUGCAAACAGGUUAGUGGAACAAACUCCACCAUCUGCAGUCUAAAUGGUCAAAAUCCAUAGAAAAUCAUCUGAAAUAAAGUCUGAAAAUGGAGUCA